rnacentral:rRNA from 1 species
UACAGAGGAGCCAAGCGUUGUCCGGAUUGACUGGGCGUAAAGCGCACGCAGGCGGACGCGCGCGUGGGGUGUGAAAUCUGGCCGCUUAACGGCCAGGCGCCAUCCCAUACGGCGUGUCUGGAGUGAUGCAGAGGUCGGUGGAAUUGCCGGUGUAGUGGUGAAAUGCGUAGAUAUCGGGAGGAACACCUGUGGCGAAGGCGGCCCCCUGGUUGGAUACUGACGCUGAUACGCGAAAGCGUGGGGAGCAAACAGG